UCUCUUGUGGGCGCAAUUGGUUAGCGCGUUUUCGGCUGUUAACCGAAAGGGUUGCUGGUUCAAGCCCAGCCAGGGAAC
rnacentral:tRNA from 1 species